rnacentral:rRNA from 1 species
UGGUUAAAUAUUUUUAUGAAAUUAAAUAAAAAAAAAAACUAAAUGGCUGCAGUAACUAUGACUGUAUGAAUGUAGCAUAAUCAUUCGCCACUUAAUUAGGGGAUAGUAUGAAUGGUUAAACGAAAAUUUCUCUGUCUUAUAUAAUAAACAAAAAAUUUAAAUUAUAGUUAAGAUGCUAUAUAAAAUUGUAAGACGAAAAGACCCUAUAAAGCUUAACUUUAAUCUUUUACAAUUUAUUUAAAAAAAUAAGAAAGAAAGAUUGGUAGUUUCAUUGGGGCGAUGAUCUCUAAAAAAAAACAGAGAUAAACUAUAUUUUUAAUAAAAAAAAAUUUACUGUUUAAUUUAUAAAUUUAACAGUUACAAAGUAGGUUAUAAUGACCCAUUAUUUCCCCAAAAAAAAAAUAAUGAUCAAAAAAUAAAAGCUACUUUAGGGAUAACAGGAUAAUUUUUUCCAAGAAAUCUUAUCGAAAAAAAAGUUUAUCACCUCGAUGUUGAAUUAAAAUACCCCAAUGACCCAGCCGUUAUUAAAGGGAGGUCUGUUCGACCUUUAAAAUCUUACAUGAUUUGAGUUCCU